rnacentral:rRNA from 1 species
UACGAGAGGCCCAAACGUUAUUCGGAUUUACUGGGCUUAAAGAGUUCGUAGGCGGUUCGGUAAGUGAGGUGUGAAAUCCCACGGCCUAACCGUGGAAGUGCCUCCGAUACUGCAAGGCUCGAGGGAGGUAGGGGCAGCUGGAACUUCCGGUGGAGCGGUGAAAUGCGUUGAUAUCGGAAGGAACGCCGGUGGCGAAAGCGAGCUGCUGGACCUCUGCUGACGCUGAGGCGCGAAAGCCAGGGGAGCAAACGGG